rnacentral:rRNA from 1 species
AUSYMCUGAUUGCRGUUAAAGCUCGUAGUUGGAUUUCGGGUGGGGUGGUGCGGUCCGCCUCUGGUGUGCACUGCUCCGCUCCACCUUCCUGCCGGGGACGGGCUCCUGGGCUUCACUGUCUGGGACUCGGAGUCGGCGAGGUUACUUUGAGUAAAUUAGAGUGUUCAAAGCAGGCCUACGCUCUGAAUACAUUAGCAUGGAAUAACACGAUAGGACUCUGGCCUAUCUGUUGGUCUGUGGGACCGGAGUAAUGAUUAAGAGGGGUAGUCGGGGGCAUUCGUAUUCCGUUGUCAGAGGUGAAAUUCUUGGAUUUACGGAAGACGAACAUCUGCGAAAGCAUUUGCCAAGGAUACUUUCAUUGAUCAAGAACGAAAGUUGGGGGCUCGAAG